GGCUACACACGUGCUACAAUGGGUAGUACAGAGAGUCGCGACCCUGUGAGGGUGAGCUAAUCUCAGAAAACUAUUCUUAGUUCGGAUUGUACUCUGCAACUCGAGUACAUGAAGUUGGAAUCGCUAGUAAUCGCGAAUCAGCAAUGUCGCGGUGAAUACGUUCUCGGGUCUUGUACACACCGCCCGUCACACCACGAGAGUUGGUUGCACCUGAAGUAGCAGGCCUAACCGUAAGGAGGGAUGCUCCGAGGGUGUGAUUAGCGAUUGGGGUGAAGUCGUAACAAGGUAUCCGUACGGGAACGU
rnacentral:rRNA from 1 species